UUAGGAAUGAAAAUUAUGAUACAAUCUCAUAUAUAAACCCACACAAACUAAGAUGAAAAAACCUUUCCCCGUCGAAAAAAUAUUUUAUCUCAGGAGGAAAAAAUAAUGAUUUAGAAUUCAUAAUCCUCCUAUUAUGUCACAUCUUAAAUCCACAACCAUGCCGAGAGCAGAAAGUAUGAUAGAGUCAUUUCCUUCCAGUUUGGUCCCCCUGACUUUGGAGCUGGGUAGUCGGUCGGAUACAAUAGUACAAUGAGCAGUUUGUUAGCGAAAUGGAAGGAAGCAGACCAUGUUUUGGUACCUGAGAAAACAAUUAUCUUAAAAUAAAUGGUAAUAUUAAGUUUCUUAAAUAUGUAUUCGUUUCUAGAAAGUAGUUCUGAUAUGUUAAUGCGGGCAAUAAUUGUAUGGGUUGUUGUUGGAUUCCAAUCUGAUGUUCGUCUCGAUACUUUGUUGUUACAAACAAAUACACAGAGUUGGCUCUUCCUCUGAACAUGUAAGAUUGUUUCACAGUA